rnacentral:rRNA from 1 species
AGCAGCCGCGGUAAUUCCAGCUCCAAUAGCGUAUAUUAAAGUUGUUGCAGUUAAAAAGCUCGUAGUUGAAUUUCGGGGUCAAUACGUCGGUCGUGCCUUCGGUACGUACUGGUGUUAUUGAUCUCUCCCUUCUGAUGAAUCAUGAUGUCAUUAAUUUGGUGUCGUGGGGAGUCAGGACUGUUACUUUGAAAAAAUUAGAGUGUUUAAAGCAGGCUCACGCUUGAAUACAUUAGCAUGGAAUAAUGAAAUAGGACGUUCGAUUCUAUUUUGUUGGUUUCUAGGAUCAACGUAAUGAUUAAUAGGGAUAGUUGGGGGCAUUAGUAUUCAAUUGUCAGAGGUGAAAUUCUUUGGACUUAUUGAAGACUAACUACUGCGAAAGCAUUUGCCAAGGAUGUUUUCAUUAAUCAAGAACGAAAGUUAGGGGAUCGAAGACGAUCAGAUACC